rnacentral:rRNA from 1 species
GGAAACCCACCAGACGUAAUGGAGUGGUAUCCAUAUCUGAAUACAUAGGAUAUGAGAAGGCAGACCCGGGGAACUGAAACAUCUAAGUACCCGGAGGAAGAGAAAGCAAAUGCGAUUCCCUGAGUAGCGGCGAGCGAAACGGGACCAGCCCAAACCAAGAGGCUUGCCUCUUGGGGUUGUAGGACACUCUGUACGGAGUUACAAAGGAACGAGGUAGAUGAAGAG